rnacentral:rRNA from 1 species
GUGCCAGCAGCCGCGGUAACACCGGCAGCUCAAGUGGUGGCCAUUUUUAUUGGGCCUAAAGCGUUCGUAGCCGGCUUGAUAAGUCUCUGGUGAAAUCCCACAGCUUAACUGUGGGAAUUGCUGGAGAUACUAUUAGGCUUGAGGCCGGGAGAGGCUGGAGGUACUCCCAGGGUAGGGGUGAAAUCCUAUAAUCCUGGGAGGACCACCUGUGGCGAAGGCGUCCAGCUGGAACGGACCUGACGGUGAGUAA